rnacentral:rRNA from 1 species
AUUGAACGCUGGCGGCAGGCCUAACACAUGCAAGUCGAACGAGCGGCGGACGGGUGAGUAAUGUCUGGGAAACUGCCUGAUGGAGGGGGAUAACUACUGGAAACGGUAGCUAAUACCGCAUACCAUCAGAUGUGCCCAGAUGGGAUUAGCUAGUAGGUGGGGUAAUGGCUCACCUAGGCGACGAUCCCUAGCUGGUCUGAGAGGAUGACCAGCCACACUUGCACGGUGACACGGGCCCGACUCCUACGGGAGGCAGCAGUUGGGAAUAUUGCACAAUGGGCGCAAUCCUGAUGCAGCCAUGCCGCGUGUGUUAAGAAGGCCUUCGGGUUGUAAAGCACUUUCAGCGAGGAGGCGUUACUCGCAGAAGAAGCACCGGCUAACUCCGUGCCAGCAGCCGCGGUAAUAC